GACGAACGCUGGCGGCGUGCCUAACACAUGCAAGUCGAACGGAAAGGCCCUGCGAGCUUGGUGUUCUCGAGUGGCGAACGGGGGAGUAACAGGUGUGUAACCUGCUCUAGACUUUGGGAUAGCUUCACGAAACUGGGGCUAAUACCGUAUAGGAUCUCCUGCUCCAUGGUGGGGGGGGGAUAGUCUCGGCGGGCGGGGAUGGACUCGCGGCUUAUCGGCUUGUUGGUGGGGUAGUGGCUUACCAAGGCUUUGACGGGUAGCCGGCCUGGGAGGGUGGACGGCCACAUUAGGACUGAGAUACGGCGCAGCCUGGAACAGGAGGCAGGGGGGGGGAAUAUUACACAAUGGGCGGGAGCCGGAUGCAGCAACGCCGCGUGCGGGAAGACGGCCUUCGGGUUGUGAACCGCAUUCGCUUGUGACGAAGCGUGAGUGACGGUAAUGGGUGAAGAAGCACCGGCUAACUACGUG
rnacentral:rRNA from 1 species